UACGUAGGUGGCAAGCGUUGUCCGGAAUUAUUGGGCGUAAAGCGCGCGCAGGCGGUCCUUUAAGUCUGAUGUGAAAUCCCACGGCUCAACCGUGGAACUGCCUUAGAUACUGACGGCCUCGAGGGAGAUAGGGGCGAGCGGAACUGUGAGUGGAGCGGUGAAAUGCGUAGAUAUCUGGAGGAACACCGGUGGCGAAGGCGGCAUCCUGGACCAUUACUGACACUGAAAAGCGAAAGCCAGGGGAGCAAACGGG
rnacentral:rRNA from 1 species